ensembl:lncRNA
CUGUCGUGAUUGAUGCAGUGGUGCUCUGUCUUUCUGUAAACAAGAGGGUCACACCCCUCCUUACUUUACCACGUGUGUCUGUUGGUCUAGGCUGUUUGGUUCCAUCAAAGGUCCUAAACAGAUCUGAUUUUAACCCAAAAUGAAGCACUGCUGAUAAAUUCACCGGAGGUGAGACUGUUCAACCUCACUCAGGGCUGCACAUUAGAAAUGCACCUGGUUUAAACUGCACCUGUGCCUGACUUUAGAUGAGGAAGCAAGCUUUCCCUAACUCAGGUGAGUACAUUUAUGCAAUAUUCCCUUCUUCUAUAUUCUGCUUUAAGCGUGCUUCAGAAUGCUUUGGUGCUGUUGGCUCCCUUAGUUGAUUUCAGUGGUUUUCAGAGUAGGUGUUAUGGGGUCAUUCAAAAGUAGUCUGAAAUUUGUCUCGUUCUGCCUCAGCUCUCAAGCUAGAUUUAACUGAGAAUGAAGAUCUCUUCUCCUCUGAAGACUCCCUGAAUGUACAUAUGAGAGCUAGCUGCACGCUUCUGACGCCGUCACUUGAAGAGCUUGCAGUUUCUUCUGCAGGUACAAACAAAUCAGAAGUUUGUAGUUGCAGUGCCAUACCUGGAAUUCAUAGAGCAACAUCAGUGCUCAGGGUGAGGUUGAAAAGUGAUCCAGAAGAAUGUGCUGCCAGUCUGCAUUAAGGUGCUUCUAGCUACCUACAUAUUCAACAUAAGAUCUUCCCGUCCAGCUUUAGUUACAUUUCACCUUUGCUGAUAUCCAGCUGAAUUGUUCUUCUUGUGGCUUAUGUUUGUACAUAAGAACUCCCCUGAAUUUAAUCUGAGCAUAUUUUAACUGUCCUUUAAAAACAGAAAUAAAGUAAAAGCCUG